rnacentral:lncRNA from 1 species
GAAAGAUUAGAUGCAUGGGUUUCUGUGCCGAAUGGAUGCUGGGACGAAGAUGCAAAGAAUAGAUAAGUUAGAGCUUCAGAGGAACUAAAUUUGAAGCCAGCCGGUAAAAUUGAUUGAACCUUAUUAUCUCUAGUCACUGAGAAAUUCCCGAGACAGUUGGAUGCAAUUUGAAAAGCAGCAAGACCAUAACUUUUCAAUGGCCCUGAGACCCAGCUGCCUGCUUUCAUAUCACAUGCCAGCCCCAUGAAGAUGUCCUGGAAGCUCACUGGAGCUUUUCAACUAGCAAGGCAUGGGAAAGGAAAUCAAUGCCCCUACUCACCUUUGGAAGAAUUUCACUACCAAGUCUCCGUGGUUCUAUGGGAUCCAAUAAUCCUUGGCUCAGUAUUGAU